UAAGUACAACGAAAGGACAGAAAAGCCCCUAUUUAACUAUUAUUUUUCAGUGUUAUUUUUUUGCUGCAUAGUGAAAUGGCCAAAAUGGCCCUGCCCCUUCAAUUUGUCGACCCACCGUUUCUCUAGAUACUUCCCAGUUCCCACAUCGUUUUUCUCACCGUGCUGCUUGCCUCUACUCUCCCCGUCUUCCUCGUCACCUCAUCUACUAAAUUCUCUUCGAUUCUACCAACCGUCGCUACCGUUCAGACUUUCCCAAAGGUGCAGAAUGAACGACUAAUCAAUGUGGGAAAAUGUAUAUAACUGUAACUUAGAAAUCUCCCAUUUUGAUUGCACAUAUGCUCUUGAUGUAAAGUAAAUAAAAUGUAAUGUAACUUAAAGAUUGAUUUUACCAGGUUGGUUUAGCUGUUCUGUUAAUUUUUGAAA